GAAAAUUAUAUGACAAUUGUUCUACACAUAUUAUAGUUUUCACACUUUCGGUAUUUGUUUUUCUUCUCUUAAUUAAAGAAGCAGCCGUCUCUAGUCUUCUUGUGAGCGAAUCUUUGAAGCUUGAGUGUUCUAGACUAAUCACAGAUCUUCCAUCAUCUGUGUAGCAUAUUUCGAUUCAUUGUUACUUUAUAUCAAUCAAUCAUUUCAUCGAUUUUUUAAAGAAUGCUUUUCAGGCCAGUUGAAGAGCCACAAUCACUUCAUCACUUUUAGGAUCCAUCCCCAUCGAUCCUAUAUCGCAUCCUCUUCUACGAGAUUGGUAAUCUCCGUCGCAUCGAUCAGGGACUCCCAAUUCACUUUGUCAGACGUCAGCUCAUCCAUCUUGGCCUGAAAAAUAGAUUACCUUCUGAUGCGGUCUAGGGUUGAUGUCACAUGUCAAUUUUAAAUUUGUAAAAUCCUAAUAUUUGCAAGUGCACAGCUGUGCUAAGUAGUACUUAAGGUGUCAAUCCACAUAAAGAGUUGUCUUUCUUGCAAAAAUCCUGCAUCUUGCUCCUCAUUGUUCACUUUUUCUUCUUGUUCCAAAGCUGGGUUACCCUUGUUGACGUUUUGCUUGAGCUCCUUUAUAGACUCAUUCAUGCUUUUGCAUGCUUUCACCAGUUUUCUCAUGGACUUGUUUUGCCACUUACACCACCGCUGAAGAAGCCUUAUGUGCUGGUGAGAAUAGCGUAUACUGGUGGAGGUGAUUGGCUUAUUAAAGGGUUUGAAGUGAUACUUAUGAAUUCCAUAGACGACACAAGGAGGGUCAGGACCUAGUUCUUCAUCAGUGGUCUGGGUUGGUUUCUUGCUUCAGCUUGCCUUGGUACUUUGCUUCUUUUGGAGAUGUCUUGAAGUGAAGGGUCAAAUUAUGGGUUAUGGAAGAUGUCCUUGGUGGGAAAGAAUUUCACAUUCUUCCUCUCUUGCUGAGUGGUGAUGCCAGUGUUUGGAAGUAAUAUGUUCACUAUGUGAGAUGAGUUGAGAGACAGCUUAUAUGCAUAUUGACUCUCAGUUCUUCCACCCAAGAAUGUGACUUGGUUAUGUAAGCUGCAUCAAGCCAAUCUCUCUUCUUUACAUCAGAACCCAACUCUAUACAUUGCUUGGACUCCUUGUCUGGUGUAAUACAAGCCCA
rnacentral:lncRNA from 1 species